AACGAACGCUGGCGGCAUGCCUAACACAUGCAAGUCGAACGAGACCUUCGGGCCUAGUGGCGCACGGGUGCGUAACGCGUGGGAACCUGCCCUUAGGUUCGGAAUAACUCCCCGAAAGGGGUGCUAAUACCGGAUAAUGUCUUCGGACCAAAGAUUUAUCGCCUUUGGAUGGGCCCGCGUUGGAUUAGCUAGUUGGUAGGGUAAAAGCCUACCAAGGCGACGAUCCAUAGCUGGUCUGAUGGGAUGAUCAGCGACACUGGGACUGAGACACGGCCCAGACUCCUACGGGAGGGAGGAGUAGGGGAUAGUGGACAAGGGGAGAAAGCGAGAGCGGGUAAUGACUGGUGAGGAAUGAAGCAAGUAGGGGAGAAGAGGGAGUUUACCCGGGAGGAGCAUGACGGUACCGGGAGAAUAAGGUAAGGCUAACUCCGUG
rnacentral:rRNA from 1 species